rnacentral:lncRNA from 1 species
UCUGAUUUAGGCACAAAACAUUCAAAGACAAGAAACUUCAAAAAAGAAAGAAAUAUUUUAUUUCUUAGUUUUAAGGUAAAUAUCCAAAGGAUUUAUGUCAUUGACAUCACAAUAACCCCAAAAGAAAAACCAAUUAAGUUUGAUAGCAAUGUAGAUGAUUAAACAUCAGCUGGUGGAGUGUGGUAGCAAACACAAAGGGUUCCUCCAAAAACUGUAGGGUCUUUCUCGCAAGCGGAUCGAAUUAAGCGACUUCCAUAAGCCUUCAAGCAUUUGUUCUGACAAUCGGGCUGAGAACAUGUAAUCACAAUCACCCCAUCGGCCUCGAUCGGCCUUGUGAAUGUCAACAUCACCAAAGCUAUAACAGCUGCCAUUGCCACCAUUCUUUUACCCCUCAUCUCCAUCUCAAGUGAAAUCUCCCUUGCCUCUUUUUUUUUUUUAAACCUUUUAUCCUUAGAUUUUCUAUAGACUGCAAAAUGUUGGGUUAUUUGAGUGACCAAAAACUAUGGUAUUUAAAGUGUGUUUCAUGUGUCCCAACGGAUGACAUGUCAAUGGUUGUUCAAAUCCUACCAUAAAUAAUCUAUUGCUGUAUUUCCAAAAAAGGAGUGAAUUUGGAGAUUCAUAUACCAUAUGAAGUUUUGGAUAGUAAAUCUGCUUAUUAUUUGGAAAAUAUAUGCGUAUCUUGAGCUUUGGCCAAUAAUGGAAGGCAUGUACUGUCAUUUCCUUUCUUUCUUUAUUUCCUUUUAUGAAAAAUUUGAAUUAUUUUUUCCUUUUAUGGAAUCCAUUUGAUAUAUUUAAAGUUAAAUAUUCGAACUAUUAUAUUGCCAAACAAUCGUACCUAAACCAGAGAACAGCUCGCCAAGCCAGCAAAUCAGUGUAUUUGAAGCUGAAUCACAUCAUUCCUCUCCUCCUUCGUCUUAGGAAGGAAGGACCACUUUUGAGCACACCAUUCUUCACCUUAGCUUUCCUGAAAAAUCUACCAAUAAAUGACAAACCCCAUAACACAGAUCAUAGGACAAGGUUAAACAAAUUGAACCCAUUUUCAGAGAAAGAAGAUAAGAGAACAAAAACAUAGUGGCUAGAAAAGCACCGGAGAUCCUAUUGGUAAUUGAAAGAGUUGCAGAAAGCUGUGGCUUAUAAAUAGGAAGAUGAGGAGAUAAUGGACGAAGGUUUGAUUCUCUGGUCUUGCUCCCAAGCCCUGGAAUGUCACGGGAUGGGGAGAGAAAUCGAUUCCCCUCGACUUUCAUGUUCAACACUUGGCUCAGGCUCCUUGUUGGAGACACAGAAUCAAACACAUCUACAGAGGCCAAAGCCAAGCGAAAAAGUUUUUUCUUGAGGGGGAAAAAUAACUAAAUUAUAAUUUUACAAUUUUUGUAAGGACUAAACUGAAAAUUUACCCUUUUUGGUCCCCUGGCGCCACCCCUACCGAUCUGCACAGUGAAAUCGGAAGGGACAAAAUCAACAUCAAUUUUAGAUAACCAAAAAUAAAAAGAAGUCGAAAUGAAAAACAAAUGGCUAAAUUGAGAAGAAACCGUAAGCACAACACCGAUCAUCAUUGAGGUCACGGUCAUCACGUGUGGCAGCGUUGGUGUUAAAGAUUCUGGAGGUGGAUGGAGCGGUGGCAACACGCAAGGGGCUGGGGAGGAUGUUGGAUGAGACGAGCCUCGUGAGAGCUAGAGAUGAAGCCAUUGCUAAAUAGAAAAGUCUCAAAUUUGCUUGCCGCUAAAAUGUAAAAUUGAGUGAAAUACUAGGAGGAAGGGGCAAAUUACAUACCCUAUUUUUUAAAAAUUUACCGAAAUGGGUCCGGUAAAUAAUUAUUUACCGAAAUGACCCUAUUUUAGCGAAAGUGCGUUCACGUCAACGCGAUGUCAGGGGACGUGGUAGAAAAACGCGUCUCUGAGGAAGCGUUUUGCCUACGUGGACAAAAAUCGCUCCUUUAAGGGCGCGCUUUAUGUCUAAGUAGGCAAAACGCUUCCUCAAGGACACGUUUUGCCCGUGUCUCCUACGGUGGGUUUUGGGUUAUUGGUUUAGAGUUAGGGUUAGGAUUAGGGUUUUGGUGUUUCUAAAUUUAGGGUUUAAGAGAAAAAAAUUAAAUAAAUAAAGAAUUAGGGUUUAGGGUUUUUCAAUUAAAUUAAUUAUAAAUGUUUCAAAAUUGGAUUAGUUUUCGUGUUUAUUGUUUUUUAAGAAAAAAUUAAUUAAAUUAGGGUUUAAGGUUACUUAAGUAAUUUAAUUAAAAAAAUUUUAAAAAUCAAAUUAGGGUUUAGAGUUAAAGUUUUUUAAGAAAAAAUCAAAUAAAUUAGGGUUCAUGGUUACUUGAGUAAAUUAAUUAUAAAUUUUUAAUAAAUUAGUUAAGGGUUUAGUAUUUAGGGUUUUUAAGUAAAAACUCAAAUAAAUUAAGGUUUGGGGUUUAAGGUUACUUAAUUUAAUAUAUUUGUUAAUUUAAAGAAGCUCCCACGUGGACGCGUUUUUGCUACAGUAGGUUCUGAAAAAAUAAUUUCGAGUAGAUGUUUUUGAGCAAAUAGUGUCAAAAAUGCUUUAAGAAGGAUGCUUUGUCAGUAGAAGUACUGAAAGAAUCUCCCACGUGGACGCGCUUUUGCUACAGUAUCCCCUGAAAAAAUAAUUUCGAGUAGACGUUUCUGAGCAAACAGUGUCAAAAACGCUUUAAGCAGGAUGCUUUAUCAGCAGAAGUACUAAAAGAAGCUCCCACAUGGACGCGCUUUUGCUACAGUAGCCUUUGAAAAAGCUCCCGCGUGGACGCGCUUUUGCUACAGUAGCGCAUUGCCUGAGGCUAUAAAUAAGGCAAAAUUUUCCCUCAGAUUGCAUAAAUUACAGAAGAAAAAUUUAGAGAGGCUAAGAAGGAUAGAAAUUGAAGAUGAGUGAACGUAUUAGUGCUGUUAUUUACUAUGAUGGUAAGGUUUGCCACACCGAGAACGGUGUUUUUUUUUUAUCGGAGAAUACAGUGCGACUGGUUUUUAACUAGAACAUAGAUUUGACAGAACUUCGUAAAAGAAUUAGGCGUAAAAUAUUCGGAACGACGCCAAUGAAAGUUUUGUCUAUUACAUAUCGAUUUUGUUCUUCUGUUGAUCCGGUGACAUAUGACUUGUUCGACAUAAAAGGUGUUCGUAGCUUGGAGGCAAUGAUACAGACUCAUCUCGCUAGUGGAGCACCCUAUAUUGAGUUAUAUGUACAAUUUACAUCGCAAAACGAUGCACUUGCGACUGGUGUUUGAGAGUUAUACACGACCCUUGCCCAACACUCGGUUAGUGGGUUAUAAAACACGAAGCAACCCAUGUUUGGUAGCGGUGUGGAAUACACAACCCUGCACGACACUCUGUCAGUGCAUGGGACAUGCACCUCGGUGGGUCGAUGUUUGAUGCUGGAAAUACGUACUGGGGAACGACAUUAACUUCUAGUGGUUGGCAAUCUACAUCCAAUUUUGGACGUUACGAAACGCUUAGAAGAAGGAAUGAUGUACUCCCUACGACGUCCACCGGUGAGGAGACCUCCUACGUUGCAAAUGAUGGUGGGUUAGAAGAUGACUCUGAUGUGGAUCCACCUCGAGAGCCCGGGCCAGAUGGUGCAGAAGUUGGAUUAUUUUCUGAACCGGAGUCUAUUCCAACUGAACCUGAAGAUGUUGAAGGGAGUUCAGAUGAAGAAGAAGAUCCACGAUUCAGGGCAUACUCACCUCCAGCCUGUUGACACCAUUUUUUUGAUAAAACGGGGUCGACUUGGAUUUUGAAAAAAAGAAUGAAAACGGGAGUCGCCACCAAUCCUUUUUUGAUGAGGUGUGAUCGGGUCACCUCGAAAAGUGGUUGUUUUUAAUAAACGAUUUAAUUUUUAUUAAAACAACGAUUUUGGUCUACGAAAUUCAGAAAACGGGUUCGGGAGUCGGUUACGCACGAGGAAGGAUUAGCACCCUCGAUACGCCCAAAAUUGGUACCUAGUUGAUUAAUUAGUGUCUUAGUGUCGAAAAUUGAAAACCUUGAAGAGUUUUAAAAAUACGAUCCUUAAAAGAAACUCUGAUAACGUGAAUUGAAAUAUAAGAUUCUCUUGUUCCGAAGGAAUAUCACAUCUAGCACGUUAGGACACGAUACUCUAAACCAUCGAAACCAAGAUCACCUUAUAGUUUAAUGAAACCAUACUUUGAAGUUUUAAGAGGAUAUUUGGCUAUUUAGUCGAAUGAGAAAUCGAAACCCAGCACGUUAGGGCACGUUUUCUCGAUUUUCCAAACGCUAAAUAUUGCCUUAUUUUAAAAGUUUAAAAAUGAUAUUUGGUUAUUUAGUCGAACGAGAAAUCGAAACCCAGCACGUUAGGGCACGUUUUCUCGAUUUCUCAAACGCGAAAUAUUGCCUUAUUUAGAAAAACUUUCCUUUUGAUGUUUGGUGUUAACAUAUGUGACUGGCGGUCUCAGGAAUAUAACAAGUUAAGGAUAAAUAGUACAGACAAUCAUAAAAAAUGGAAUAAAUAAAUAUAAGAGAUGAAUCAAACACUUAAUAACAAGUAAGUAAACGAAUAGAAUUAAAAUGUUCUUUUAAAAUAAUAAUGAACAUAUACGCAAAUAUAUAAAUAAACAUAAAAAAUAAAAAAAAGUGUGUUUCUAUAUACAUAUUUUAAAAUAAUAAAAUAUAACAAAUGUAUGAAUUAUAAGAUAUAGGUACAUAUACGUAUUAUAAAAUGUAUAGAUGUACGUAGUUUAAGAUUAUAAAAUAUAUAUAACGAAUAUAUGUAUGUAUAUAUGUUAUAAAAUAAUAAAAAAACCUAUGUAUGUAGACACAUUCAUUACACAUAUAUAACAAAGUUUGAAGAAUAAGAAAGAUAUAAAUAGCAUCAAUAUAAUGUAAAUAUAGUAAUUAAUAUAAAGACAAAUAUCUUUGAUAUUUAAAUAAGUAAAUAUAAAUAACGUAUAACAACAAUAAAACACAUAAUAAUAAUCAUGAUAGCAAUCAAAAUAUUAAUAUUAUUAGUAAAAUAAUUAAAAUAAUAAAACAAAUCGACUAAAUUGCAUUUAGAAACAAAACUUGGGGUCUAAAGUGCAAAUAAACAGAAAAGGGGCCACCAGGGACCAAAAUAAAACCCGCUGAAAGGGCGAGGAACCAAGGGCGCAAAUAUCCCCUAAGGAGAAAACGCGCGGAUCCUUUCAAGUCGGGUCGGGUCGCGCGGGUUAAAGCUCGAAACGGCGCCGUUUUGGUGUAAAUGAAACUACGUCGUUUCAUGCUAUUAUAAAAGCCCAAAAAAAACAUAAAUUCAUUUUCAGCCCUUGCUUCAAAUAAAAACUGAAGAGUGACUCAAAGCCUCUCUCCCUCUCCUCUUCCCCGGCCAAUAGGGCCACCAUCUGUCCGUCGGCUACCCGCCGGCCACCGGUGACGGCACCGCCGUGCAUGGUGGCCGGGAAACCCAAAAGUGCCCCUUUUUAGCCCGUUUUAAGCCUAGAUUUUAGAUCUAGAAGACAAAUGCCUGAAAAGUAAAAAAAAAAAAAGAAGAAAAGAUUCGACCUUUGCCCCAUUUUUUACCAAUCUCGACGCCGGGAAAAAGACCACCGACGGAGGGGCCACGGGCCGAUUCUGGUNNNNNNNNNNNNNNNNNNNNNNNNNNNNNNNNNNNNNNNNNNNNNNNNNNNNNNNNNNNNNNNNNNNNNNNNNNNNNNNNNNNNNNNNNNNNNNNNNNNNAAUAAAAGAUGAAUAAAAAAGAAAACAAAAAAUAAAACAAUAGAAUCUCAACCUUUUCAACUUCUAUUCUGUUUUUUAUUUUUAUAUGUGCGUUUUUUACAAGGAAAAUCGAAGAAGAAUACAAGGAUGAUAUUCUAGGCCUUUAUAGCCGAGAUUACAUCUUAUUCUUCUUAUUGUUUUGUUUUUUUUUUGUCGUAUUAUUUUUCUUCUAUCUGCUGUGUGUUUAUUGCUCUUUGCAGGUGGUGUCAGAGCAUGCGGAUGAGGCGAUAGGCGAGCCGCAGCAAUGGCCAAGGGCGUGCGGGGAGGCUGAGCGGCGCACAUGGGCAGUAGGGGCUGCUAGGUUUUCUCUGCUGAAAUGUUUUAGGUUGCUUGGGCUAGGUUUUUGUAAUUUUUUGGCCUGCUAGGUUUGGGCUUGUAGUUUUUGGGUUUAAAUUUGCUGAGAAUGGACUGCUUUUGUUUUUAUUAUGUGGGUAAUUUUGUUGGUAUGGGCCCGGGAAAAAAUGGCCUAUUACACAGCCCACAUGCAUAAUGUCGAUCUGUCUGCAGAUGAUGUGUUGGAGUUUCCAGAUCUACCACAUCGGUUGCGUGACCGUACAAGUUCGGUACUGGAUUUGGGUGAAUCUGAAGUUGGUAAUCAGUUUUCCAACAAGGAUAGUUUUAUUGGUGCUUUGAAACAACAUAGCAUCAAUAACGGCGUUAACUACCACGUCGUUAAGUCCAAAAUUGAUAAGUUUGAGGUGAAGUGUGCAGUGCAAGACGGUACAUGUUCAUGAAAAAUCUACGCCUCGUUGAGAAAAAGGACAGGGUUGUGGGAGAUUAAAAAGUACAAAGGUCCACAUACAUGUGCUACAGGUACAGUAUUUACGGUUUCUAAAUAAUACUGUUAUUAUGUAAUGUUGCAUUAUUUAAUGUAAUCCGUUUAUAGGUAUUUCACAAGAUCACCUCAAGAUGGAUUCAGCUAUGUUAGCUAGCUUGAUACUACCCAUGGUGAAGGCAGAUCCCAGGACUUCAGUGUUGGUGUUAAUUGCCAAUAUUCGUAACCACAUGGGGUACACACCCUCUUACCGCAAAGCUUGGAUAGCUAAGCAGAAGGCGUUGGAGAAGAUGCAUGGUGGUGGGAUGCUUCUUAUAAGGAAAUAUGGCAGUGGUGUCAAGUGCUAGAGUGAUACGUCUCAGGUUGUAUAACAGACCUCCAAACCAAACAUGCGUACUACAACGACCGAUUGCUACGUGGAUGCCAAGUGUUCAAACGCCUGUUUUGGACCUUUAAGCAAUGCUGAGACGUAUUUCCAUACUGCAAGCCAUUGGUACAAAUUGACGGUACCUUUAUGUUCGGUAGAUAUACCCAUCGGCUAUUGGCAGCAGUGGCACAGGAUGGCAGUGGGAGAAUUCUUCCACUUACAUUUGCAAUAACACCAGGGGAGCCAGCUUAUGAUUGGGAUUUCUUUCUAUCUAGGUUAAGAAGGCAUGUGUGCCCCCAACCUGAUAUCUGUGUUAUUUCGGAUCGGGGUAUCGACAUUGUAACAACCUGAUUUUUGGGUCUAGUCGGAAUAGUGGUUUCGGGACCACAAAUUCGACGAGGAAAAUUUUAUUUUUAUGGUCUACAAUUUCACGAAAUGAUUUCGUGAAAAUUUCAUUCAAAAAUUUUGACGUUUGAGCACUCAAUUUAUUUAAAAAGUCUAAAUUGAUAUGUAAUACCCCGAAAAUUUUUACAGUAAGAUAUUAUCUUUGAUAUAGUAAGGAAAUAAAGUGAUAAAAAGGAGAAUUUUGAGUUAUGACAACAUUGGGAAGUAUAUUAUGACAUAUUAAUUAAAGAAAUGAUUAAAUUGCAAAAGUGAGAAAAGUUUUGUUAUCCAAGAAUAAAUACUCAAAAUUUGAGGGGUUAAAGUGUAAAUAUCAAAAAGUUGAAGGAUCAAUAGUGUAAAUAUUUUAAGGGUGGAAUAAUCUAGAAACUAAGGAAAAUGGAUGAAUUGGGACCAAAUUGAAUAGAUGAAGAAUUAUGAGAGACUAAAUCGUAAUUUUACCAAAUUAAGUGAUGACUCAAGGAUGGAAUUUUAAAAGAUCUAAAGGGAAAAAUAGUCAAUUAGAAGAAAGAGAAAUCUAGAAAAUAAUGAUGAUGUUGGAGAUAUUUAGAUUAAAUAAAUAAAUAUUAGUUUAUUAAUAUUUUAAUUUGAUUUUUAAAUGACAUUUUAUCAUUUUAUUAUUAUUUUAUUUAGUAUAUAUAUAUGGAAGAAAAGAUGAAGAAUCACCUUCCUUUCCCAUGCAUUUCACGUUAGAAGAGAAGAGAAGAAAGAAAGUUUUGCUUUCUUUACAAUUUGGUCCUUCCACCAAAAAUUUACCAUUUUCACCUAGAAAUCAAAAGAAUUUCCAUAGCUACCAAGAGAGAAAAAUGUUAAGGAGACUAUGGGGAGCUAGAAUAUCAAGUUAGAUUCAAGAAAUAGAAGCUGGAGGAGAGAGAAAAUCAAGUUAAAGAUUGAAAUCAAUAGCACAAGGUAAGAACAUCAAGAUUCCAAUAUACUUUUGAGUUUGAUAUUAUUGAAAAAGUAGGAAAUUAAUGUUAAUGUAGAGUUUCAUUAUAUAAGGUUCUAUAUUCUUGUUAUGUUAGUAAAGGGAAAUAAGAGAAAGUGAUGGAAAACAUUGAAGAGAAAGGAAAGGAAGGUGUUAUAAAUUUAGUUAUCAAUAUUUUAUACUAAAACAAUUUUGGACAACAACAGUAGGUUAAUUUUGAAAAAUCACCAUAAAUUAUGGAAAAUUGAAUUAGAGGAUGAAAAAAAUAUGUAAUUAAAGCUUAUUGAGUCUAGUUUCUCAUAGAAGAAACGGUGUAAGUAAUGGAAUUGUAAAUCAUGAUAUAUAAUGAAUUUUGUGAGACAAGGUUAGAAUGAAUUCGGGUUUCCCUAUCCUGACUUUGAAAAAUCAUUAAAAAUUGUAUAAAAAUAAUUAUGGGUUAUAAUUUAUAUAUUUAAAAUCCUUAAUAAGUCUAUUUUUAAUAGAAACAAACAAGGACAUCAUUCGAAUUUUUAGUGAAGAGGGGUUAGAACUGUCAAAUAGUGAAACAUGGGAAACUUUAGAGAAUAAAAUGUAUUUAUUAGCUGAACGAAAAAUUCUGAAAAUUUUAUGGCAAGAAGAUAAGUGAGUCUAGUUUCAGGGAAAAUUAACGGAUCUUAAUUUGGAGCUCUGUAGCUCAAGAUAUAAAUAAAUUAGUGACUCUGAUUCAGACAGACAACUUGAAUUUACAUAAAGGAAAAUAAUGAUAGUAUGGAUAAUGUUGAUUAAAUGUGUUAUACACAUUAAUGAUGAUGAAUGGAGAGGAGGUGGAGGAAAAAUUGGAAAAUAUAUGAAUGAUUUGUGUGUAAUUGGUAAUACGCUUGAUUAUAAUUGAUAGACGAUGAAAUAGAAAUGAUGCAUAUAUUUGUGCAGUAUUGAUCAUGGUUUAAGCUCAUGUGGGAAAAUAAAGUUCAUAGUACGUGUGUAUGGUAUAUUUGGUAUAUGAUUUGGCAUGAAGUAAUGUCAUUAAUGGGUAUUGAAUUAACACAUGUUGGUAAGUUUGAUACAUGAAUAAAUAUUGUGAUCAUGAAAGGGGUGGUAAGGUUUAAAUUAUGAAAUCUUUAGUGAAAUGGUUUAUUAUGUGAUUAUUUCCAAAAAGAACUAUGUUUCAAUGCACUAGCUUGCGACUAUGGUUAACGAUAUGUUUAUGUAUUGUGUGAUAUGCAUAGGAAACGAGUGUGGAAAUGUAAUGAAAUAAUAAGUUCAUAUGGCUGAACUUUUAUGAUUAAUUGUUAAUGUGGAAAUGAUAUAAUGUAUCAAUUCGUAUAUUGUUGUUAAAUUAUUAUUAUGGUAAAAAAGAGAAAAAAAAUGAGAUUGUUAGUUCAAAUUAAGGGAUACGUAGGAUUGAGUACAUACGUUCGGUAAUCAGUGAUGAGUUGACGAAUAAGUCCAUGGUGAAUCUAUGGCAAAUUGUGAAAAGUAAGUAUGGUGCUUCAGUGAAGAAAACCAUACUGACUUGCGAAAAGUAAGUAUGGUAUUUCGAUAAAGAAAAUCAUACUGAGUUGUGAAAAGUAGGUAUGGUGUUUCAGUGAAGAAAACCAUACUGAGUUGUGAAAAGUAGGUAUGGUGUUUCAGUAAAGAAAACCAUACUGAGUUGUGAAAAGUAAGUAUGGUAUUUCCGUGAAGAAAACCAUAUUGAGUUAUAGCAAUGUGAAAUAUUCAAGCAAAUCGUGGCACCAAGCAAAUGAUGUACUCAAAUCCGUAAGACGAUCCUUAAUUUGACAAGUAUUUGUAGUACAAUUGAAGCUAAAUGUUGGAAUAUAAGUUGACUUCUGAUAUUGAGCUUAACUGAGAAAAUCCAUUAUUUGAGAUUGUGGUUGGCAGGAAAUGUUCCAUUAUAUAUAUUGUGAAGAAUUAUAAAAGCAUGUUAAUAAUUUGAAAGUUUUAAAUUUUUAGUGAAAUUUUAUAACUCGGUUCAAUACGUUUACAUUGUAUGUGUUUUGGUAAUGCCCCGUACCCUAUUUUGGUGUCGAAUACGGGUAAGGGGUGUUACAGGCAUACUAGCUGCAAUUGAUCGACAGGAAAGCUUAUGGCAGCGCACACACUAUCGGUAUUGCCUAAGGCACGUUGCUUCUAACUACUACAGGCAAUAUCCAUCUAAGAGUGAACGACGACAAGUGACCAACAUUGGUAUUUAGUCUCUAUUAAUAUAAUUCCGUUUGUCAUUUUAAAUUUAUUCUAAUUGAAAGAGUGUUAUGUGAUAUUCGCUAUGAACUUUUACUGGCAAGGUAUGAAAUAAAUAAAAAUUAUUUUCAUGAGAUGUUGGCAGUUUUGCGUUCAAUUAACGGCGAAGGCGCGAACUACCUUUGCAACAUACUGUUCGAACAGUGGGCACAAGCAUACGACGGCGGUCUACGAUAUGGUCAUAUGACCUCAAACCUGGCUGAAUGCAUAAAUUAUGUUCUACGCGCCAUCUGCUGAUAACAUCGGUUGUGCGAGAGACAUAUUUUUGUUUAGCGGCGCUAUUUCCAAAGCGAGCAGGGAGUUAUGCAGGCCAGAUGCAGGGAGACCAUGUAUGGUGCAGCAAGGUAGUACAACAAAUUAACAAGGGCAAGGCACGGGCGAACACCAUGCAUACUGUCUGUCACGACCGAGACAACUUAUAGUUUCGCAUGACAGAGUUUGACAGACCACAUCAAGGUUUAUUGGCAGGCAAUAUUGGGUACACUUGCUAAAUAGGACUUGCGACUGUGGGAUGUUUGACGCACUUCGUUAUCCAUACGCUCAUGUAAUUGCAGCUUGUCGGAAUCUCCGUCUGGAUCCGAUGAGCUAUGUCCUCGAAGUGUACAAAUUAGAAAACAUGUACAACGUCUGGAGACAUGUAUUCCUACCGAUCCUAGAUGAACGUAAGUGGCCAUCUGUAUUGCUUGCUCUUUUUAAGCUGUUACCGGAUAGAGAAUUGCGUCGCAAACUAAAAGGUCAACCUUGCUGGAUUAGAAUACGUAACAAUAUGGAUAUCUGAGAAACAACCAGUCAACAUAAGUUGUGCGGAUGGUGUAGGAACCCAGGCCAUGCAAGCCAAUCAUGCCCAAAUCGUAAUAGUUGAACGUUAUUGUAAAAAAGUUUGUAUUAUUUAUAUUUUUUUAAAUCAAAAAUUGGUACAAAUAUUCAAAAUAUUGACUUAUAUAAAAGAAAAUCUAUUUUAUUAAAAAUAUUAAAGUAAAUUUCAAUUACAUUAUUCAAAACAACGUUUUAUUUUAUUAAAUGAAAUAAUAUAGAAAUAUUCAACAUAAGGCAAAAUUUAAAAGAAUUUCUAUUAUAUUAAAAAUGUAAAAGUAAAUUUCUAUUUUAGUACAUGAAAUAAUAUAGAAGAAUUUAUAUUUUAUUACAUCAAAUAAUAUCAAUUUAUUCAAAAUGUUUGUACAAAUAUAUUCAUAUAAAAAUCAAUCUCCGUGCCCGCCGGAUCAUGGCGGUCGUUGACAGUUACGCGCUGGAUUCCUCCUUUGCCCAGCUUCCUGCGGGAGUUGUGGUUGCUCUGGCGGGGAUUCUGGUUCCUCCUGUAGGGGAUCUGGUUGUCGGUGUUGGGACGAUGAGCCACAUUGAUAGAAUAGUGACUGUGGAGGUGUUUGCAUCACCAACGGCAAAGCUGUUUGAAACCUAUACGGUGAUAGAGAUUAGUAAAAAGAAAAGCUCCCUGACAGCCCCUCUUGCGAUCCCUCGUGCGACGCUGGCAUAUACAUCGGCGGUCCACUCAGUGUAACAGAAAAUGGAGAUGAAUUAAGCCAUGGACUUCAACCUGCCAUAGGACUCGAAAAAGGAAACAUAUAAGAGUUAGAAUAAAUAAAAGGGUUAGGAUACGCACUUGGCAUCAUCUGAAAAAGUUGUACUGUGGGCAUCGUCGGUUAAACUGCUGGGUCGGGUGACUGUGUCGGUGCUCUCGCUGGGCCUGGUGAUUGAAUAGCCGCUGAUGAUGGGCCGGAUGAAUGUCUGGGCCUCGUUGAUAGGCUUGCGUCGUCGUCUCAUCGUAUUGGAUUUAAAGGGUCACGUCGUUCCCUUUGGACACGUAAUUGUCGCUGUCUCUCCUCUGUCGACAGUAAAUAUGGCUUGCCAUGGAUUAUAAACUAUGGCAUGUAUUUUGACACGCACGCUAACUCCGAAACGAUGAUCGGUUCCCGAUUAGGUAUAUAACCAUACCGAUCUUCCCACAUUUGGAUGUAGUAUGACCAGAAUCUCGGCCAAUCCGUAUGCAAUUACUGUAGGUCGAUUUUGUGAUGAUCAUCAAACACCUCAAAUGCCACGGGAAUCGGUUGUCAGAAUCGAAAUUACCGUAAUACUCUGUCUGACUGGUGCAUCUCCACGGUCGCAUAGUUGACCAAUGCGCCUUUCGCGUGCCAAGCGUUUGGAUUUUGGAGGUACUCAUCCGAAAUUAUUGCCCGAAUUGCCGGAUCCUCGUAUGGUGUCCAUUGAAACUAUAUGAACAUGAUGGAAAUAUUAGUUAUAUACAUAAUACAUAAUACUAAAUACUAAAUACCAAUCGACUACCUCAUGAUGGAAAUAUCAAUUUUAUUUAAUACCUACUUGUGCUUCUGACUGUUGGUCUAAUAGAAGCCGUAUAUCUUCAAGAGAGCUAGGUAAUCCAGCAUAACUUGCCGGAUGAUUCCAUGUAAUGAAAUAAAUUUUUAACAUACUAUUAUAUUUUAAAUUUACGUAAUAAUUGUAAAAUCUAAUAUAAAAUUUAUCUCGUUAUGAGUGGGAAUGUAUAUGGGUGGCCCACUUAAGGACGUAAUAAUGGAAAGUGAAACCGUGCCCAUGACUGCAGUAGUGACAGGCAACCUUCGAUUUUCGCUUUACUUGGUCGCGUUGCCCCGCACAUCUCCCGGUACAAUGUGGCCAAAAUGGCAGACCCCCAACUCAAUUCAUCAGCUGCUUUAAAAUCAACGAGUUUUAGCAGCCAUCUUAGAUGUACGAGGUUCCGUGACAAGUCCGGCAUCAGAUAACCUCCAAUUAUCUGAAGAAUGUAUGCCCGAGCAUAUCAGAUUCUUUCUAGUUCGGUUGAAUUAUCAUCCGGAUCGGGGAAUGUGUCUCGUAACAAGCCCAUCUCGAUCCGACCUUCGUUAAUAUUCUCCGAAAUAGCGCCCAAAAGCUCGUAGCAUACCGCUCCCCAAUCACCAGAUUGAACAGACCCGGUGACUGGGUACCCGUCCACCGACAAUCCUAAUUGUAGAUUGACAUCUUCCAAAGUGAUAGUGUACUCUCCACAUGGAAGAUAGAAUAUGUGCGUCUCAGGUCUCCACCUCUCAAUCAACGCACUGAUAAGUUUCGGGUCCAACUUGCAUCCCAGUCUACCGUCGCCACGUGCCAAAAACCCGCUUCCCGUAGGUAAUUCUCUACCAACGGUGAUGGAGGGCCAUGCAUAUUACGGAUAUAGCAUUGCAAUAUCCGAUCUAUAGACUUUUAUAACAAAUAAUAAAUUAAUAAUUAUUUAAAAUUGCAUAAAUAAAAAAUCUUAAAUAAUAUUUAAAAAUUAAAUUUAACACUUACCAUUUUCAUUUGUUCGACGGAUAUGUGCUUGUCAUCAAGACAAAUCAAUUCUUCGGCCAUUGCUAAAUUCGUACAAAUUUUUAUGAUUUAAAAAAAAAUCAAAAAAUAAAAUUUAAAACUUUUUUAAAAAUAAUAAAAAGAUUAAAGCUCUUUUAAAUAGGAAUUUAAGAGAAAUUUGAGAGGAAUUUGAGAGAAUAUUAGAGAGAAUAUUAGAGAAAGGGUUUAGUUGUGAAAAAAAUGAAAGUGGGGUUUUAUAGUUUUUUUUUUACCGUUGGGGAGUUCACCAACGGUCAAAAAAUUAGCCGUUGGUACUGUUCACGCACGGGCAAAACGCGUCCCCAAGGGAGCGCUUACUUGGCAGGAAAACGCGUCCUUGAGGGAGUGCUUUUGGUCCACGUAGGCAAAGCGCUCCCUUGAGGAAGCGUUUUCCUGCCACGUCCCCUGACAUCGCGCUGACGUGGACGCGCUUUCGGGGAAUUAAGCCAUUCGGGUAAUUAAUUUAUUACCGGGCCUAUUCCGGUAAUUUUUUUAAAAAAUGAGCUUUUUUUUAGUGUUUUGCCCAGGAGGAAGCUGCUAAAAAAGUAAAAUUGACUAAUUAAACUAUUUGGAUUUGGCAUUUACAUGGUGGGUAUAUAUAUAUUUCAAAUUCUGUUGCGUGAUUGGGCAAAUGUGUUACACUUUUAAUUUUAGAAGUCCCAAUAUACGAAUGAAAUGUAGUUUAAGAGGUGAAAAACAUGGAUCAAUUACCUAGCAAUCUAACAAUUUCAAAUAUUCAUCAUCAACAACAAUUAAAUUUCUUAAUACAACUCUCGAAAAAAUAGUUGCAAAAGAAUGACAUAAAAUUUUUAUCUAGUGUCAAUUUAAAAUCGUCACGUGUGACCUUAUAAUUAAUAUUCUAUCACAAUCAUUUCAUCUCCUAAUUAUAAAUUACUUUGUACUACCAAUAAUCAAAUAAAAAUUAGUAGUCGCAAAAGCAAAAUUAUCAAAUUAAUAAUGAUGUAAUUAUCAUCACCUAGGAUGAUAAAAAAAUCAAUAUAAAAGUGCACGUUAAUCUCCUAAUUAUUUAUAUUUUAUUAAACAUAUUACAUAAUUCAUUUAUUACAAAAUAAUAGAAGUAAAACAAUCUAAACUUUUUGCUUAAAAAUCUAGGUAAUUUUAUUACUAAUAUAAUGAAACUUAGAUGUUGAAAGAAAAAUAAAAAGAAUAUGACCAUAAUAAAGGUUAUAAAAUCAUUUGUAGCCAGCUUCUCAAUCCAAAUCUUCACAUAAUCACGUUGUAAUAAAAACAGUUAAGAAUGAAACAAGAGGAAGACGUACAAGAGAAGGGGAGAUUAGCUGCUAUCAAAUGCAUACAAUUUCUAGAUAUUAUAGAAAUAGAUGACCUUCAUUUCUUGCUCUACCCAAAAUAUCCCAUGUUUCAGAAAGGAAGAUUCAAAAUGAUUAGCAAAUGGUUGAAUUGUUUGGAGACAAAGGAGAGUGGGAGAUAAUUGAAGUUUAUUUUAUCUUAUCUUUAACUCUUUAAAUUUGAAAUUAUACCUAAAUUGAGAUUUCAUUGUAAUUGUUUGACAUAAAAAAAAAUCAUGUUUUCACUUACAGUUUUCAUUUAAAUCCUUUAUAAUAUUUGAAGUAUAACAGUGAGGAAAAAUCAUGGUUUGUUGUAUAAUAUAAAGUGAAAGUUUUUGUGGCCAAUUUAUUUUUCUUGUAAAUAAAUAUGAUAGGAAAAACCAAGGUGAAUUAUUAUAAAAAAAUUUUAAUUUUUUCUUUUUUAUUUAAGUUUAAAUUAACUUUCUCAGGAGCUUAUUUAGUUAAAAAUCAAGACUUUACAUCGUUUAGCUAAUCUAUAUGAUCUGAAUACAUUAAAUUUUGUAAAUUUUUUAUCUAUCAAAAAUUUUAUAUAAUGAUUCUCAUUAGAUAUGUAAUCUACAAAUCUAAUGUAAAAUUCAUUCUAUUUCGAUAAUUAAUUUUUGUUUUAUUUAAAUAGGGAAAGACCUUUGAUCUUAUGUUCAAAUGGCGAAAUGAAGAUAAUGAAUUUCACAUUUAACUUGUCUGAUUUAGGCACAAACUUAACAAGAAACUUUAAAAAAAGAAGAACAAAUUUAUUUCUUAGUUUUAAGGCAAAUAUCCAAAGGAUUUAUGUCAUUGAAAUCAUAAUAACCCCAAAAAGAAAAACCAAUUAAGUUUGAUAGCAAUGUAGACGAUCAAACAUCAGCUGGUGGAGUGUGGUAGCAAACACAAAGGGUUCCUCCAAAAACUGUGGGGUCUUUCUCGCAAGCAGAUCGAAUUAAGCGACUUCCAUAAGCCUUCAAGCAUUUGUUCUGACAAUCGGGCUGAGAACAUGUAAUCACAAUCACCCCAUCAGCCUCGGUCGGCCUUGCUGCUUCCGCCGUGAAUGUCAACAUCACCAAAGCUAUAACAGCUGCCAUUGCCACCAUUCUUUUACCCCUCAUCUCCAUCUCAAAUGAAAUCUUCCCUUGCCUUUUUAUUUUAUUUUAUUUUAAACCUUUUAUCCUUAGAUUUUCUAUAGACUGCAAAAUGUUGGGUUAUUUGAGUGACCAAAAAC